UACGGAGGGUGCAAGCGUUAUCCGGAUUCACUGGGUUUAAAGGGUGCGUAGGUGGCGCCAUAAGUCAGGUGUGAAAUCUCGGGGCUCAACCCCGAAACUGCACUUGAUACUGUGGUGCUCGAGUACUGGAGAGGAGAUUGGAAUUUACGGUGUAGCAGUGAAAUGCGUAGAUAUCGUAAGGAAGACCAGUGGCGAAGGCGAAUCUCUGGACAGUUACUGACACUGAGGCACGAAGGCCAGGGGAGCAAACGGG
rnacentral:rRNA from 1 species